rnacentral:antisense_RNA from 1 species
ACACCACCCUGCAGCAGGCCUGGCCACCGGCCUCAGCGCUUCUGGGAGAAGGUCAGCCAGGUGGAAGAUGGAGAGGGCUUCUGGACUGAGCCCUGGAGGGGGGCUAGGGGCCACCAGCAGGCAGAUGAGCCCUGGGACCCAGCUGGCCAACCCACCUGACCACGGUGACAAGGACUGCUUGGGAAGGAUAAGCCCAGGUUCGGGAAAGCAAAUUCAGGCUGCAGGACAGCUGCCCCGGCCCCCCACAAGCCUGGCACCAGCCCAGGGAAGACUGAGGAGCCUCACUCCAUGGGGACUGCAAACACCUGAACACAGCGAACCUGAAGGUAUAGGGCAUCUUCAGGCUGCUACUGAGGCAGUCCUGCCGCACUCAACCCAGAACCUCAUCACUGAAAGGAACCUCACGGUUCAGGCUAGAGUGCAGUGGCGCGAUCUCGGCUCACUGAAACCUCCGCCUCCCAGGUUCAAGCAAUUCUCCUGCUUCAGCCUCCCAAGUAGCUAGGAGUACAGACAUGGUCUCACUCUGUUAUCCAGGCUAGAGUGCAGUGGUGUGAUCUCAGCUCACUUCAACCUCUGGCUCAAGUGAUCCUCCCACCUCAGCCUCCCCAAGUAGCUGGGACUACAGGCACACGCCACCAGGCCCAGAUAAUUUUUUGUAUUUUCAGUAAAAACAGGGUCUCGCCAUGUUGCCCAGACUGGUCUUAAACUCCUGAGCUCAAGCGAUCUGCCUGCCUCGGCCUCCCCAAGUGCUGGGAUUAGAGGCAUAAGCCACCAUGUCUGGCCCCCAGUGGCUUCUAAUCCGCCCUAUCUAUCCAUCAAGCCUGGGUGGGGUGGGCUUGCUCAGUGUCCUUCAGAUUCCUUCAUCAAUUAACUCUUUUGUGUACAAGGAUGUCCCAAAAGCGCAGCCGCGAGUAGAAUUUGCCUUGGGUCAUUGCUGUAGUCUCCCGCAUCCAGGAAAGAUCUAGGCCGCUCGCUUUCCACAAACCUUCUGGCUGAAACAAGCCACUUACCUGGCUGCAGUGAAGACACUGAUGCCGCUACUGAAGCUGGAGUCACAGGAACCAUCUGGACCUCCUGGGAGAGGAAGAGGAACAAGGGGUCAUGAAAGGCUGUUGGCGCUCUUGAAUAAACAAGACCCCUGUGACAAGCACACACAGAACUCUCCAGAGCCCCAUACCUUGAUUCAGGCUCUUCAAAAGGACCAUGGCUCUGGAGCCCUGAGGACCCAACCAACGCCCAGUCAUUCUCGAUAGUCCCCAAGCUUGUAAGUCUGUAGUCACAGUGAUCUCACAAGGAGGGGACACCAGUGCUAAAUUAACAUCUGGCAAAUCUCAGAAGGGAUCACUGGCCUGAGGGGAAUGGAUGUUUAAAAUGACAGAUAAUACCCAGCAUCCUUAGCUAUCAGGAAAAUGCAAAUCCAAACCACAAGAUACUACUGUACACCCAUCAGGAUGGCUAAAAUAAAAGACAGAUAAUAGCAAGUGUUGAUGAGAAUGUGGAGAAACUGGAACCCUCGUACAUUGCUGGUGGGAAUGUAAAAUGGUGCAAGCUGCUUUGGAAAGCAGUCUGGCCAUUCCUCCAAAGGCUAAACAUAGUCACCACAUGACUCAGCAGCUCCACUCCUAGGUAUAUACCAAAGAGAAAUGAAAACUUAUGGCCACAUGAAACCUUGUACAUCAAUCAUGUUCACAUCAGCAUUAUCUACAAUAGCCAAAAAGCAGAAGCAACCCAAAUACCUAUCAACAGAUGAAUGGAUAAAUGAGGUGUGGUAUAGCCAUACAAUGGACUAUUAUUUGGCAAUAAAAAGGGAUGAAGUACUGAUGCACGCCAUAAAAAUGAACUUUAAAAACAUUGUGUUAAGUGAAAGAAGCCAGUCAUAAAAGACUACAUAUUGUAUCCCUUUCUCGAAAGUGUUUAGAACAGGCAAACCUAUGGAGACGGAAAAUGGACUGGAGGUUGCCUAGGACUGGAGGAGACGGGGGAAUAGGGUAUAAUGGCUAAUGGAUUCUUUCAAGGGCACGGAAAAUAUUCUAAAAUUGAUUGUGGUGAUGGUUACAUAACCCUGUGAAUCUACAAAGUCACUGAAUUGUACACUUGAUGUUGGGUGAAUUGUGUGGUACAUGAAUUCUAUCUCAAUAAAGGGCUU